AACGAACGCUGGCGGCAGGCUUAACACAUGCAAGUCGAACGGGUGUAGCAAUACAUCAGUGGCAGACGGGUGAGUAACACGUGGGAACCUUCCUAGGGGUACGGAACAACUCAGGGAAACUUGAGCUAAUACCGUAUACGUCCGUGAGGAGAAGGAUUUAUCGCCCUUAGACGGGCCCGCGUCGGAUUAGGUGGUUGGUGGGGUAACGGCCUACCAAGCCUACGAUCCGUAGCUGAUCUUAGAGGAUGAUCAGCCACACUGGGACUGAGACACGGCCCAGACUCCUACGGGAGGCAGCAGUGGGGAAUGUUGGACAAUGGGCGCAAGCCUGAUCCAGCCAUGCCGCGUGAGUGGAGAAGGCCUUAGGGUUGUAAAGCUCUUUUACCAGGGACGAUAAUGACGGUACCUGGAGAAUAAGCCCCGGCAAACUUCGUGCCAGCAGCCGCCGUAACAC
rnacentral:rRNA from 1 species